rnacentral:rRNA from 1 species
UACGGAGGGUGCGAGCGUUGUUCGGAAUCACUGGGCGUAAAGCGCGUGUAGGCGGCCUUGUAAGUCUGGUGUGAAAGCCCGGGGCUUACCCCCGGAAGUGCACUGGAGACUGCAAGACUAGAGUACCGGAGAGGAAAGUGGAAUUCCUGGUGUAGCGGUGAAAUGCGUAGAUAUCAGGAGGAACACCGGUGGCGAAGGCGGCUUUCUGGACGGAUACUGACGCUGAGGUGCGAAAGCAUAGGGAGCAAACAGG